GAGUUUGAUUAUGGCUCAGGACAAACGCUGGCGGCGUGCAUAACACAUGCAAGUCGAACGAAAUCUACAUGAUUUAGUGGCGAACGGGUGAGUAACACGUGAGAAACCUGCCUUACACAGAGGGAUAGCCGUUGGAAACGACGAUUAAUACCUCAUGACACCGUGACAUCGCAUGAUGAUGCGGUCAAAGAUUUAUCGGUGUAAGAUGGUCUCGCGCCUGAUUAGCUGGUUGGUGGGGUAACGGCCUACCAAGGCGACGAUCAGUAGCCGAUCUGAGAGGGUGGACGGCCACAUUGGGACUGAGACACGGCCCAAACUCCUACGGGAGGCAGCAGUGGGGAAUUUUGCACAAUGGGGGAAACCCUGAUGCAGCGACGCCGCGUGAACGAAGAAGGCCUUCGGGUUGUAAAGUUCUGUCCUUGGUGAAGAUAAUGACA
rnacentral:rRNA from 1 species